rnacentral:rRNA from 1 species
GUAUUUUGACUGUGCUAGGUAGCAUAAUCAUUAGUUUCUUGAUUAGAAACUGGAAUGAAAGGUUUAAUGAAAAAGUAUCUGUCUCUUUUAUAUAUUUAGAAUUUUAUUUUUAAGUAAGAAAGCUUAAUUUUUUUUAAAAGACGAGAAGACCCUAUAGAGUUUGAUAGAUUAUAUUAUUAUUAAUUUAUUAGAUUGAAAAAAUCUAUUAUACUAGUAUAAUUAAUUUAAUUGGGGUGAUUAAAAAAUUUAUUGAACUUUUUUUACUAUUAACAGUAAUAUUUGGUUAGUUUGAUCCAAAAUAAUUUUGGCUGAAAGAAAAAAUUACCUUAGGGAUAACAGCAUAAUCUUUUUUAAGAGUUCUAAUCAAUAAAAGGGGUUAUGACCUCGAUGUUGGAUUAAAAUUAACUUUGGGCGCAAAAGUUCAAUAGUUAGGUCUGUUCGACCUUUAAAAUUUUACA